ACACUCCUACGGGAGGCAGCAGUGGGGAAUAUUGGACAAUGGGCGCAAGCCUGAUCCAGCCAUGCCGCGUGAGUGAUGAAGGCCCUAGGGUUGUAAAGCUCUUUUGUGCGGGAAGAUAAUGACGGUACCGCAAGAAUAAGCCCCGGCUAACUUCGUGCCAGCAGCCGCGGUAAUACGAAGGGGGCUAGCGUUGCUCGGAAUCACUGGGCGUAAAGGGUGCGUAGGCGGGUCUUUAAGUCAGGGGUGAAAUCCUGGAGCUCAACUCCAGAACUGCCUUUGAUACUGAAGAUCUUGAGUUCGGGAGAGGUGAGUGGAACUGCGAGUGUAGGGGUGAAAUUCGUAGAUAUUCGCAAGAACACCAGUGGCGAAGGCGGCUCACUGGCCCGAUACUGACGCUGAGGCACGAAAGCGUGGGGAGCAAACAGUAUUAGAUACCCCAGUAGUCCC
rnacentral:rRNA from 1 species